CCUACGGGUGGCUGCAGUGAGGAAUAUUGGUCAAUGGACGCAAGUCUGAACCAGCCAUGCCGCGUGCAGGAAGACGGCUCUAUGAGUUGUAAACUGCUUUUGUACGGGAGUAAACGCAAAUAUGCGUCUUUGUUUGAAAGUAUCAUACGAAUAAGGAUCGGCUAACUCCGUGCCAGCAGCCGCGGGAAUACGGAGGAUUCAAGCGUUAUCCGGAUUUAUUGGGUUUAAAGGGGGCGUAGGCGGUCGUAUAAGUUAGAGGUGAAAUCUCGGGGCUCAACCUCGGAAUUGCCUGUGAUACUGUUCGGCUAGAGAGUAGGAGAGGUAGGCGGAAUUGAUGGUGUAGCGGUGAAAUGCUUAGAGAUCAUGAAGAACACCGGUUGCGAAGGCAGAUUACUGAGCUGCAACUGACGGUGAGGCACGAAAGCGUGGGGAGCAAACAGGAUUAGAUACCCUAGUAGUC
rnacentral:rRNA from 1 species